rnacentral:rRNA from 1 species
AGCGAACGCUGGCGGCAGGCCUAACACAUGCAAGUCGAACGAACUCUUCGGAGUUAGUGGCGGACGGGUGAGUACCACGUGGGAACGUGCCUUUUGGUUCGGAAUAACUCAGGGAAACUUGUGCUAAUACCGCAUGUGCCCUUCGGGGGAAAGAUUUAUCGCCAUUAGAGCGGCCCGCGUCUGAUUAGCUAGUUGGUGAGGUAACGGCUCACCAAGGCGACGAUCAGUAGCUGGUCUGAGAGGAUGACCAGCCACACUGGGACUGAGACACGGCCCAGACUCGUACGGGAAGCAGCAGAAGGGAAUCUUGCGCGAGGGGCGAAAGCCUGACGCAGCCAUGCCGCGUGAAUGAUGAAGGGCGUAGGAUUGUAAAAUUCUUUCUCCGGGGACGAUAAUGACGGUACCCGGAGAAGAAGCCCCGGCUAACUUCGUG